rnacentral:rRNA from 1 species
GUUUAACCUUUCGGGGAGGACGCUCACCACUUUGUGGUUCAUGACUGGGGUGAAGUCGUAACAAGGUAGCCCUAGGGGAACCUGGGGCUGGAUCACCUCCUUAUACGAAGAUAC